AUAUUUGUAAAGGCCCUUACUAGCAAGACCAUCACCUUUGAGGUAGAAUCGUCUGACACCAUGGAUAAUGUCAAGGCCAAGAUCCAGGAUAAAGAGCAAGGGUCGUGCUUAGGGGCCCCCGAGCACAAACUCUCAACCAACUCAGGCUGUGCAAUCACACAUUGUCCCCCGACCAUCUUCAAACUUCAAGGUUCUACGACUUUGGCUUCAACAUCAGCAAAGACAAUCCAAGGAGCCAAGAGGAGUGCUCAGGGACUGCCUCGAGCACCCUCCACUCCCCGGAGCACCAUCUAUGCUCUGAUGCCCACCCAUGGGAUCUGCCAACUAACAAGGCUUUUAAUGUAA
rnacentral:rRNA from 1 species